rnacentral:rRNA from 1 species
UACGUAGGGGGCUAGCGUUGUCCGGAAUCAUUGGGCGUAAAGCGCGUGUAGGCGGUCCGGUAAGUCCGCUGUGAAAGUCGGGGGCUCAACCCUCGAAUGCCGGUGGAUACUGUCGGGCUAGAGUGCGGAAGAGGCGAGUGGAAUUCCCGGUGUAGCGGUGAAAUGCGCAGAUAUCGGGAAGAACACCCGUGGCGAAGGCGGCUCUCUGGAACGCAACCGACGCUGAGACGCGAAAGCGUGGGGAGCAAACAGG